rnacentral:tRNA from 1 species
GUGACAAUAAGUUAAUAGGUUAAACUCUGGUACUUCCAAUACUAUAAUAUGUGUUCGAGUCACAUUUGUCAUA